rnacentral:misc_RNA from 1 species
CUCGUUACAUAAUGCAACCCUCAGAGGCUGCCUGAUAAAAUUGGUUAGCGUCAGCAGUGCGGGCCUCUUUUCGAGGACCGCACAUCCCCUGAUACUGAUUGUGGCGUGAAAGUCUCGGUUCACGAACUCGAUGCGUUUCUUGCUAUCACUGGUUGUACUUACUAAUGCAAGUGGCCCUCGAGGUUUCGCCCCCCGUUCCAUUUGCUCUUGUGUCACCGCUCUGUGCUUUUCUAUAUCCUCAGGGGUCCGCUGGCGCUUUCCCAUCUCGACCCUCUGAAGUCUACACCCGAGCUCACGGUGCAUCCAGGACGUUCGGAACUCAUCUAUCGGCAUUGUGGAAAAACGGUGCGUGCGUUCCGUGUAUGCUCGUGUCGACGGCGCUGGUGCGCUCGCUUUUGUGGACGCCCUGCUCCGUACGCUACUACAAGCUUCUGACUCUUGUCUUCCUUGAGAGCGCUGAACUCAUUGAAGUUGUUGAAUGCACACGGCUUCCCCUGGUGCAUUUUCGUACGCUGACGAACACAACGGGGCGGCUUGGUGUGCUCGUUCCACAGCUCCUCGUCAUGAGCAGCGCGAAUUCUCGUGAAUGAAAGGAAAGCUUGAAAGUGCGCUCCUCGGCUCGUCACGCUGCUGAUCGCUUCCUGGGGGCACGUUCACUCAUGAGCCCCACUUCUGACUUUUUUCCUCGCAUUCAUUAUUCCCGAUUCUCGGUAGUAUCUCGCUCCUGAGAACUUUGAAAGACACAUGUCUUUCUGACAUAAGUUGCCGUCGAUACCAUCCUUCGCACACUUCGGAGCAACGAUGGUCAUGAUAUUCGUGUUGCCGGGCUCAAGGCCGGAGACAUUUUCAUUCUCCUGCAAUUCCUGCGUCUCAGGGUGCGCCCUAUUGGUUUCUUUGUGCAUCGCCGAGGGCGCAGCCGACGACACAAUGGGACGAUCCACCUGCAACCGCCGAUACUGGACACAUAUGGAUACCCCAUCGGUUUCGAUCAAUCCAGUGAAUAGCUGUUGUUUGCUCGCUUUGAGACGUUUGAAAUCGAAGAUACUCUUCCAGUACGUCUCCCGGUUUUCACCGGAGAAUUCCUCCCUGCUAACAUCGAACUCCGGACAGAUCUCCUUCAUGAUACCGUGAAGGAUUCUGGAGCCGAUACUCACAAAAUGUGACUUGAUGUUGCAUAUAGGAACCACGUUGAAGCGCUUGCCCAUUAGGAAAGCCUUCCGUCUCUCCCACUCUUCAUUGUUUUCCUCACUCAGUUUCAUCUCCGCCUUGCGUUCGAGUUCUCGGUCCAAAAACACGAAAGAUCGCAGGAUGAGGCGAUGGUAUCCUUCCUCAUCUUUUUCAACUCUGAUAUACUUUCUGCUGGACUCGCCAGCCCCAGGACUGCACAGUGCUCUUGUAUAGCCGCACGGGUUACAGAAGCUUCUUUCGUUCUCCUGCGUGACGCUUUCUUGUCGACAAAUUCGAUCUCCUGCUCAUCCCGGGAAUCGUUCGUAAUGGCAUCGAUGAUGGCCCACAUCCCUGUGCGAGACAGGCCCGGGCGCAUUGCAAAGACGGAGCGUAUCAUGAAGCGCUUGAGGUUUAUGUUCAUACGAUUCUUCAGGUUUGUGAGAUACUUUAUUGCCCUGUCUUCGUACAUGCGCCAGUGUCCCCUGUAUCGAGUAACGUUGAAGCGGUAGUUGGCGAAGCUUUCGUGGAGGGCGUGCUCCCGCUCAUUCCUCGUCGGCGUUUCCCCUGUGCAAACCGCCAGGUGGCGGAUGAAGGUCUUGUUGAAAAAUUCUUCCCGACACUCGAAUGGUUCAAUUUGCGUCACGUCGUGAAACAUCUACGUCACCAAUUUCAUUACUCCUGAAAAAGCCUUCAUAAUACUCAUGGCGUACGACUCGACACGGUUUCUGAUGGCCUUUUGCAACUUUUGCUCGUACGGAUCCUUGAUAAAUCGAAGAGGACAGGCUUUCACCACCGUCUCGCCGUAGUGUAGCCUUUCGUGUAGCUUUUGGCUCCCGGCCUCCUGCCUCUGAUUCUUCGUCCUGUUCCCCUGGACUCGGCACCGUUUUUCGUUUACUUCCGGCAGCCGGCGCCACUGCGCCUCCAGGAUCUUCCACUUCCUUUUCCAUAACUUUCCUUUUUCAUUUUUCAUUCGAAAAAGAACACACUUUGAACGCUUCUCCGACAAACAGCGAAAAGCACUUGAAUAUACUUACUUGAGGGCUGAAACACAAUUGAACUGAAAAACUAUUCUUUGCGAUGCCUUCAACGCAAAUACAACUUGUACUCUACAGCUAGAUCAUAUAGAUCAGGCUCGCGUUUCCCUUCAACGGCGAGGUGCGCGUCGUAUCUCGUGCCUGCCACAUCUCCCAGGUGCGAGUAUCGAGUACACUACGUAGAACAAAGAACAGAGACUAAUCACUUACUAGCAAC